GGCCUACGGGACGCAGCAGUGAGGAAUAUUGGUCAAUGGGCGAGAGCCUGAACCAGCCAAGUCGCGUGAAGGAUGACGGCCCUACGGGUUGUAAACUUCUUUUGUCAGGGAGCAAUUGAGUCCACGUGUGGGCUUAGCGAGAGUACCUGAAGAAAAAGCAUCGGCUAACUCCGUGCCAGCAGCCGCGGUAAUACGUAGGUGGCAAGCGUUGUCCGGAUUUAUUGGGCGUAAAGCGAGUGCAGGCGGUUCAAUAAGGCUGAUGUGAAAGCCUUCGGCUCAACCGGAGGAGUGCAUCAGAAACUGUU
rnacentral:rRNA from 1 species